CUGCAACAAGAUCUAUGAAGAAAUCUGAUCUCAAAUAUCUCCUUGUGAUCAACUUAGGAUCCAUAACAAGUUCACCUCUCCCAAAAACUCUUGAACUAGGUGAGACAUAAGCUGUCCUAAACUUUAUUAGAAUAUGAACUAUGUAAAAUAGAUCAGCAAAUGUUCUAAAACAUGUUACAGUAAUUCCUAAAUUCUAAUCAGUAUCCAUACAAGAUGACUUUUCCUUGUUGCUUGCUGAUGGAAGGUAAAAGAACAAUCGAUCAACAAAGAGUGCUGUCAAUCAUGAGAAGAGGAAAAUCCUGUUCCAAUUCAAUAUAACAUCACUUCCUGGAUCAAGAAUUUUCUCUCUCCAAAUGAUUAUUCUCUGGAAACACCUUAAACCUUCAUAAUUUAGGAGCCUUGUUACUUGUGCUUCUGUCACUAUUAAUACCACCUCCUUCAGUUUUAAACAAUGGAGCUGAUGUUUUAUGUACAGGCAAUGUCUUCUCCAGGUUUUGUCUACCAUUAAACCUGUAAAUUUUGAGAACACCAUUUAACCAAAUCAUCAAAGAAAGUAUAUGGGAAUCAUAAAAGAGAGGAAAUACAGGCAAACAGACUAACCUUACCAGCUUCUCUUUCUUGAACUCCAUGGCAUUAGGUAAUCCUAUAACAUACUAUGCAUCCAAGAAAGGGAUACGGAAGAGGAUUUUGUCUUCAAAAAGUUUCACUGAAUUUUUCAUUUCUGAUUUGAAAGUAAAUCUUUCUUUCAAGAAAUGGACCUUGAGUUCCAAGUUGAAUAAAAUAAAAGAAGAUUUUGCAGAAAGAGGAAAAGAGAGGCUUUCGGUGGUGAAAAGGCAAAGUGGGGUGUUCAGUAUGGUUGACUUCCAUAAGCCCAACAGAAAACUAACAGUGAAUGGAAAAAAAAAAAACACAGCUCAGAUAUUCAUUUGCUUUCUUCUUUUAUUUAUACUGUAUAUUGAUUAUUCUCUAAUAUCCUCGUACCAACUUUUAUAUUGAAGUUAAUCUUUCUCUGAUAAGAUCUUGAACAUUAUCAUUCACAUUUGAAUUAUUGUAUUCAUGAAAAAUUUCAUUUUCGUAUGUUUUUGGAUUGGAACUAUGAAGAAUAACAUAGAGAGUAAACCUGCAGGCUAGACAUCCAAAAAUUCAGGUACCUUUAUAUAUGAUUUAUCGCAAUAACUUGUAAGAAAAUGGACCUGAAUUUUAGAGAGAUAGGGGACAUGAAUAGCAUGACAAAAAAAAAUUGAACAAACAGUACGUGUGUAUCAGAGACCAAGAAGUUUUAUUAGCAGAUCUCUCGGGCAAAAUAUAUUCGGUUUUGUGUUUCUUUUUUAUGUAUAGUUUUUGUACUAGUGUCAUUGUUCAGAUGUUGACAAGAUUGAACUAAAAAUUAACUUACAAGUUGAGGAAAAAUUACAUAACAUUUGCCACAUGAAUUUGCGGCAUGGAGAAAUUUACAUCACCUUUUCACCUUAACCAACUUCACUUAACCUGGUCCUUGCAUCUGCAACAAAACCUCUGUCUCUCAUUUCUCCAAUAAGUUGCACUGCCCUUGAUUCAUCCUUGUGCUGGAGAAAUCCUCGAAUAAUAACACGAUAACAAAUUUCAUCUGGAGGGCAGCCAUCCUCUUCCAUAUUUCGGAAAGCUUCCAAUGCUUCAUCUAACAAUCCUUCUUUACAAAGUCCAAAUAUUAUAGUAGUGUAUAUCUGAACAUUAGGCUGCAACCCUUGGACAAAGAGUUCUGAAAACAGUUUCCUUGCAUCUUUAAGAUUCCCAGAUUUGCACAUGGCAUGAACCAGGAUGGUAUACAUCACCGGAUUAGGCUUCAAGUGAGUACUUUGCAUUGCUCGAAACAGUCUGAAUGCCUUACCAAGAUACCCUUGUUUGCAAAAGCCAUCAAGCAAUAUUGAGUAAGUACGUAAAUUUGGGAGGUUUCCAUUAGUGCGCAUAUUCCUAAAAAGAUCUUGUGCUUCCCUAACUCUGCCUAAUUGGCACAAGCCAUGAAUAAGAGUGUUGUAAGUAACUUUGUUCGGAGUUAAGCCUUGAUGAAUCAUUUCAUUAAAAAGCUGCUUGGCUUCAUCUAUCCUUUUGGCCUUGCAAUAUCCGUUAAUUAAGAUGUUAUAGCUAAAAACAACAGGUUUAAAACCCUUGGUUAUCAUGACAUCAAAAAGCUUUCUAGCUUCAACAACUUGUGUACACGAGGAAUAUCCAUACAUCAACGAAUUGUAAGUAACAACGUUAGGCUCCACACCCAUUUCAGUCAUUGUUUUUAACACACCUAGAGCCUCUAAAACCUUGCCUUCUUUACAAAAAGUAUCAACUAGCACGUUGAAGGUGACAAUAUCUGGCAUGAUAUUCAAACUCGUCAUUUCAUUUAGCAAUGCCGAAGCCUCCUUCCAUCGGCUGAAAUUGCAUAAGCCCUGGAUCAAAGAGGUGUAAGUGAAAAUAUCUGGGGAAAUGCCUUUAGCCUUCAUGUAAGAGAAGAUAUCUAAAGCCUCAUUCACCAGCCUAUCUUUGCAAAGACUGUCAAUGAGUGUGCUGUAUGUCACCACGUCCGGCUGGCAGCCUGCCUCUUCCAUUUUCUUAAACAAUCCAGCAGCCUCAGCAGCUUCCCCAGUCUUACAUAAGCCAUUGAUAAUCGUAGUAUAAGUGUAGACAUUAGGUUGACACCCUCUUGCCACCAUGUCAUCAAAUAAUUCCACGGCUUGGGCAAAUUCACCCACUUUACAGAGCCCAUUGAUUAAGGUGUUAAAUGUGACAAUAGUGGGUUGAAGACCAAGUUUAAUGACUUUGGCCAAGACAGAGAACCCAAGAUCAACACGUUGCAACUGGCAGAAGCAAUUCAUCAAGAUAUGAAGGGUAUAAGUAUUAGAAGAGAGCCCAGCUAAACCCAUUUGUUUGGAAAGAGAAAUCACAACAUCGUAAUACUGUCCCAUUUUGACAAUUGCAGACAAUAAUUUGGUGAAUUGGAUAAUACAUGGCAGGGGUUUCCUAUGAAUCAUGUGAUUAAAAGAAGCAAGGGCAUCAUCAAUGUUUCUAAACGAAGAAGAAGAAGCAUCAUUUUUGUGUUUGUAUCUACUGCUACUACUACCGCUACUGCUCCUGCUAGAAGAAGAAAUGGAGUUGGAGUGUUUGCUAGACAAAAGUGAUGGAAGAAUCAUACCCGUUAUUUUCAUUAGGCAUCGCUGAACUUGGGACCCAAUGAAAAAGGCUUCUGAAGCUCCUCGUCUCACUGCCGCCGCCGCCACCAUCAUCAGCCUUCCUCUGUGUUAUUCCUUCUCCUCGUGGUCUUGUUUCUUUAUUGACCAAAACGACAGAGACACUUUGUACAAAUCUGGAAGAUUGAAGAAAGUGAUUUGGGGAAGCAGGACCGUCUCUCUCACAUACACAAGGAAUGCAAGGUUUCUCUUUUGUGAUUACUGUUUAAACAGUUAAUUAUUUUUCUUUUUCUCUUUUUUUUCAAAUUUGUUCUUGACAUUGCAUUUAAUUGGAAUGAUUUGUCUGAUUUUGCUUUUUAUAGUGAUAUAAUGAUGUCAAGAUAAUAUCAUUUGAUUUUAUAUAAAAAAAAUAGUUUAAAUGCUAGCAAGAAAUAUUUUUUGGGGAACAAGGGCAAAAUUAUUUUUAGUUUUUUUAGUUUAAUAAGUUAAUAUUUUAUCCCAAACUUCAUUUUUAAUAUAUUCUAGUCCUUAAAAUUAAGAGAAAAAAGAAAAAAUUUACUAGAUUACAUGUUCAUAUAAAAAAAAUUAUUACAUUGAUUACAGUAACUAAAAAAGUUAAAUUAAUCUUAUUAUAAACAAUUUUUUUUGAUAAAAGAAAAUCCACUAAGUUUUUUUAAUUCUUAUAUUACCCGAAAAAAUAAAAUAAAGUUGGAGAAGUUUUUUUAAUUAUUUUUUGUUUUUAAACUAAUUUUUUAGAUGGUUUUAGACAAUAAAUCAUUUUAUUUAGAUUUAUAAAGUGUUUUAGAUGUGUUUUUAUAUUUAAAAUAAUUUAAAAUAUUUUUUUGAUAUUUUUUUAUAAUUUUCAUACGAAACAUGAAAAUUAUCAAAAUUAUCUAAAUAAUAAAAAAUCCUACUUAGUAUAUAAAAAUAUUAAAAUUAUCUUAAAAUAUAUAUAAAAAAUACAUAAUUUAAAUAUAUUUAAAAAAAUACUUUUAAACAUAAUGCAAUUGCUAUGGUAGCAUAUAUUGUAAUAACAAUUAUUUUUUAAAGUAUUUUUUUAUGUAAAAAUAUAUUUAAAUAAUAUUAUUUUAUUUUUUAAAAUUUAUUUUUAAUAUUAACAUAUCAAAAUAAAUUAAAAAAAUAUUUUAAAAUAAAAAAAAAUAUUUUUUUUACAAAAUCUUGCUGAAACUAGUCUGUUUGCUCAUCAACAGAAACUGAGAAGGACUCUGACAUGCUCAGGCUCUUUGCCAUCAUCCUCUUCUUGUGUCGACGCCAAGCAGCCCGAAUAAAACAGGCAGCCCAGCUUCUCCAAUGGUAAGAGUAGAAACGGAAGGUAUGCUGUCGUUUCUUGCUAUGGAGACGUCUAAACUGAUUGGCAACGAACUUGAGGUCUUCUGCUCGCAAUGCAAAUGCUUCCACUUCUUCUAGUGCUCUCCCUGUCCUUGUGGAAGAAGGUAAGUUGAGAGUAGAUUUUGGAAGCAAUGCCCAAGCAAGCAGCUCUUCACCGCAAAAGUCACCAGGUCUCAAAGUAAUUGACAUGAAGAAACCUGUUCGCCCUCCAUUUGGAGUUGAGCUCUCUUGCUUUACCCUGAUAAUAAAAAGCAUCUCCGUAACCGGAUCUCCUUCUCCAACUAUAUAUAGUUUCCUUGAGCACUCAAACAGGACUCUAAGCGCCCACAUAUGGGAUCAAGUAGCUUAUCAUCCAUCUGCGAGAAAAAAAGGAACCUGCAAAUAGGAAAAACAUUAGCUAGAGUUGCAUGACAGAAGAAGAUAGAUUUUAAAAUGCUUGAUCGUGAGUGUUUUACUUGUCUAACAAGCUCCAGGCAUAGGUGACGCUGGAUGUCUCGACAAAGAUCUGUACGGAGGUAUGAACGCAAGAUUGAUUCCUCAUCAACCCCACUAGUUGCAAGCCACUUGUAUUGAACAAAUCUUCUGACAAGUUCUCGCAAACUGUAGGGGAGUUGAAGAUGUGUCAUCCACUCUUUUGUUUCUCAUCGCUUGAGCCUCCACUCCCCAAGCCUCAUAGUGAUAGAUUACAAGCAUGUCUCUUCAAGAGAGAGCAUGUUAAACACUGCAGAGUUCUAGAAUUCAGAAGAAAUUUAUCAUGGAAACUGUAACGGAACGAAAUCUUAUAAAGCAAUUUUACAUUUCAAAUGAUUACAUUAUUGUAAAAUACACUGAAUUUGUUUUUUGAAAAAAAAAUCAGCAGUUUCCCUACACAAAAAGAGUACACCACGAUUAUGAUCACCUUUAAAGUUAAACUCAUGUCUAUCUCUGGUUAUGCUGGAGGGAUUCAUCAAUCUUUAAGUAAUGGCAAUUAAGAAAUCCCACGAUAGAUAAUAACCUUCACAGGAAAGAAAAAGCUCUAUUCAAUGUUGUUUUCCUGCUGUAUGUUUUAUGGAUAAGGUGUCUAUAACCUCCCAUAGCAGGAGUUAGGUUUAAAUCAAAUGGAGACCGAUGGUUCAGGGUUGCAAUACUUAAAAUCUUAUUAAUAAAUUUAGAGUUUAACUCAGAUCUUUGUGUGUUACAGAACAUUAAAUAUAUAGAAUUGUAACACUUGAAAUUUUAUUAAUAAACUCAAGGUUUAACUCAGAUCAUUAUGUUGCAGAACGCCAAAUACCUUUAUCUUCUUCAACAAGGCUAGUUUCACCUUUUGGUUAUCGUGGUAAAAUAGUACUUUUCAUGUUGCCCACUUUAUUAAAUAUUCUAAACAGCUACCCCGCUUAAAGUUCUUUCCUCUUAACAUCCUAUGGAAGCAUGGGAGCUGGGAGUAUAGAGGAGAAUUAUGGCUGGUGGCGAGGAGUAGUUCAAGCACUGUCCUUACAAUGAACUUGAAGCUCGAUGCUGCUCCUCCCAAUGAAUUAGUUUUGAUUGCUAAAAAUCAAAUGAAAUGGACAAUAAUAAGGCGAACAUAGAGACAACGUCAGCUUGAUAGAGAGGUUGUACUGCAGAAUGUCUCAACUUGCCAGGAAGAUUCAUCCACUUCAUUCCCAAAUGUAAGGCUGCUGUCUGCAUCUUACAUGAGCUCUCAAUCCUUUCGUCUAUCUCAUGAAAUCAAUACAGGGAGAGGUUGCGGUCUGUUUCUUCUCGUGAACAUAUUCCUUUAUCCAAAAUACAAGAGGGACGAUAAAGAUAGGGAGAGAGUAUGAUUUAAUCAAAGGAUUUUCUGCCUAUUUUCAUCGCUUCUUUUGCAGCGCAAUUCAAGCGGAGAGUUUAUUUUUAGCCUUGUUUGAUGACAACUACGAAGUCCAAUGAAGCUCAGUUCAUUGAUAACGUCAACGUCUGUUUUCAUCUUCAUCAUCCUGGAAAUUAGAGUUUUGCUCCUCCCUUGUACAGCGGUGCCAUGGUGCUAUAAUAUGACCAGACAGAUGAAGGAUUCGAACGCCCACAUUGUUCAAUCUGGACUGUCGUUUAAAAGUGAUGGUAUAGCUAAAUUAUUGUAUCCCAUUGAUCUAUCCGCAAUAAAUUUAGCAAGAGUUAUGAGUUCAUCCAAAAAAAUAGAUAAUAAAUCAAACUUGUCUUGAAGGAUAUAAACAAAAAAAAUCUACAAUCAAAUUUCACCUUGUGUCAUUUUUUUAUUUUAUUUUUUAAGAAUAAAAUAAAUAACAUGGAAAAUAAAUAAACCUUAGUAUUCUUUGAGAUAUAGAAUUUUCUUCAAGAAAAGCACUUCAAGCAAAUAAGUUCUCUCAAAAGCUAUCAAUCCUCUUUCAUCUACACUUAGAAUUUAUAAAAAACAAAACUCUAUUGGAUUAAGUCUAAACGUCCCAUAAGAAUUCUUCGACAACAUUUAAAAGACAAAUCAAAUGUCCUCUUUCAAAGCAUCAAAUCACCAAAUCUCACUUUGCAAUACACACUCAAAUUUGCGUUCUUGUAAAGUACAAAUCUUGACUUAUUUUCACAAAUAAAUCAAGUCACCACAUAUCAAAUCCAAGGAAAGAAUAAAAGGAUUAUUUAUUCUUUUUGUAAGAAUAUUUUAAAUAAAAAUUGUACCAAAUCAUAUAUUUUAAUAAAAUGAAAUAUUUGUACGUAUAUGCUUAUCUAAUUUUGGAUGAUCGAAAUUGUGUCUCCCAACAUUUGUGGUGAAUUUCAAUGAAGUCAUACCUCAAGCUCUGCAAGCCACACCAUAAAACAUAUAAGUACUUUUCAAGAAACUCAGAGGAAAGUACUUUCUGCUGCAAUGCAUUUGUGAAUAUGCCAUAAUCGAAAAAGGAAGUGUCAUCCGGAUUACAUCUGGCAAACAAAACAGUAGUGUAUUCCCAGGACUUGCGAUCAGGAAAUUCCAAAGUAUCGCAAUCCAAGUAACGGGGGUUGCAUGGUAUAGGGCUCAAUUCAUGUUUGCAAGCAGAUUUCCAGCAUGUUCAAUGAUGCUCGAUCGACAACAAAUACCAUGAUGCCCCCAGGACCUACAAGAUCAGAGGCCUAAACAGUAUAAAACAGCACUAAAUGACCAACAACAACAACAACAAUAGCAUUUUGAGAGAACAGCAAGUAGUAUCACCUAAAACGACACGUAUUUUCCCAUCCAAGGAGGCAUUGCUCACAUGACUAGCCAGCAUGUAUAGCAGGAGAUUAUAUGAAGCUCCAGCCAUGCGGUCUUUGUGACUACUCCAGUGGCCUUAAUGAUCUCAGAACUUAAUGGAAAAAUCAAAUAUAAUCUGGGAAUAUGGAGCAGAACAGUCAGCACUGGGGCAUUGUUGGUAUGAUCAGCAUGUGAGCUUCUAAUUACUGGUAUAACAAACCAUAUCAGUCUACCAAAAACAUAAUUGCAUAUUUUUAGUCACAAAGUUAAGACUCAAACUCGAGACCUUAUCCCCCGCUUUGAGGAGGUGAAUGCCACUGGGUGAAACGCGGAUUUGUAACUUCAGCUCAACCUCAAGAAGUGAAAGAAAUUCCUGGAAUUUUUGAGGCAAAAGGGAAGCUGAAAACUGCAGUAGCAACUUCAACCUCAUCAACUAAAUGAAAAUUUCAAGUUCGUUCUCAUUUUUUACAAGUAGCUGUGAUUUCUAUUCAAAAAAUGAAAAACAAAAAUUGAAAUCACAGGCUAAAAUUCUACAUUCAAAUCAAAUAAACAGAAGCAGAAACAAAGAUAGGAAUGUAUGUACCUGAGGAAGAGGUAAUGCUGCAACAAGAUCUAUGAAGAAAUCUGAUCUCAAAUAUCUCCUUCCGAUCAACUUAGGAUCCAUAACAAGUUCACCUCUCCCAAAAACUCUUGAACUAGGUGAGUCAUAAGCUGUCCUAAACUUUAUUACAAUAUGAUCUAUGUAAAAUACAUCAGCAAAUGUUCUAAAACAUGUCACAGUAAUUCCUAAAUUCAAAUCAGUAUCCAUACAAGAUGACUUUUCCUUGUUGCUUGCUG
rnacentral:lncRNA from 1 species